AACGAACGCUGGCGGCAGGCUUAACACAUGCAAGUCGAGCGCCCCGCAAGGGGAGCGGCAGACGGGUGAGUAACGCGUGGGAAUCUACCCAUCUCUACGGAAUAACGCAUGGAAACGUGUGCUAAUACCGUAUACGUCCUUCGGGAGAAAGAUUUAUCGGAGAUGGAUGAGCCCGCGUUGGAUUAGCUAGUUGGUGGGGUAAAGGCCUACCAAGGCGACGAUCCAUAGCUGGUCUGAGAGGCUGAUCAGCCACACUGGGACUGGGACACGGCCCAGAAUCCUACGGAAGGCAGCAGUGGGGAAUAUUGGACAAUGGGCGCAAGCCUGAUCCAGCCAUGCCGCGUGAGUGAUGAAGGCCCUAGGGUUGUAAAGCUCUUUCACCGGUGAAGAUAAUGACGGUAACCGGAGAAGAAGCCCCGGCUAACUUCGUGCCAGCCGCCGCGGUAACAC
rnacentral:rRNA from 1 species